CCAAGAUCAAAGUGCCAGCAACAGGCCUUGGGAGGGCCUGCCUCCUGGUUCAUAGAUGGCCAUCGUCUCCCUAUGUCUUCACACGGUGGAAGGGGCAAGGAAGGCUUCCCCACACACCUGCCCUUUACUCUGCGGAGCCCAGCUUCCUACUGCAGUAAACUCUCACAUGGCCAAGAAGUUUCUCAGAGCUCUCCCAGAGCCAGCAUAGGGGCUGCUUACAAAAAGCCCUUGGAAGCUGCUUCACUGUGGAAUCCACUCCCGCUCCUUGCUACUGCCUACAGGACAAGCAGCCCUCCUUUUUUGUCCUGCCACUGUCUGGCUGCCCUCUAACCCUCUACUAAUUAAA
rnacentral:lncRNA from 10 species